GACGAACGCUGGCGGCGUGCUUAACACAUGCAAGUCGAACGGAAAGGCCCUGCUUUUGUGGGGUGCUCGAGUGGCGAACGGGUGAGUAACACGUGAGUAACCUGUCCUUGACUUUGGGAUAACUUCAGGAAACUGGGGCUAAUACCGGAUAGGAGCUCCUGCUGCAUGGUGGGGGUUGGAAAGAUUCGGCGGUUGGGGAUGGACUCGCGGCUUAUCAGCUUGUUGGUGGGGUAGUGGCUUACCAAGGCUUUGACGGGUAGCCGGCCUGAGAGGGUGACCGGCCACAUUGGGACUGAGAUACGGCCCAGACUCCUACGGGAGGCAGCAGUGGGGAAUAUUGCACAAUGGGCGGAAGCCUGAUGCAGCAACGCCGCGUGCGGGAUGACGGCCUUCGGGUUGUAAACCGCUUUCGCCUGUGACGAAGCGUGAGUGACGGUAAUGGGUAAAGAAGCACCGGCUAACUACGUG
rnacentral:rRNA from 1 species